ensembl:processed_transcript 4930581F22Rik RIKEN cDNA 4930581F22 gene
GGCCUCCAGCUUCUUCCAUUCCGGCUGUUUCCAUCUGAAUUAUACCUUGCAUAGGUGGAAGCUCUUUGGCAGCUCACCAAAACCUAGUUUUAUUUGAAUGGUACCUUUGGCCUGACAGUCACCUAGUCACUCAACAAAUAUUUAUUACAUUUCAUGUCCUGGUCUGGAGCUAAGCUGGGAAUAGACAAUACAAUGACUAUGUCUCUGUGUUUGGCAAGGGAAAAAGAAGAAGGCAAAAGAAAAACUGCUCGGGGAGAAAGAACAACUGAAAUAUGUCUGGCAAGUUGAUUCAAGAAACAGUUGCCCGGCCUCCAAACCUGGAUAAGUCUUCACCAAACUAGGUACAAAGACAAGUUCUUGCUAAAGGAGGAUACAAUUGUCCAUUGUGCUGGAGAGUGAUCUCAUGGUGCUACGUGUGGCCCUGUUCUGGUGAAGAGUGGCAGACGUCACCCUUUCUGAGGUAGACUGAGAAGUGUAAGGAAGAAGACCCAGGGGGACACACUGGAAUGCGCUACAAGUGUAGGCUUGUGAAACAAGCAUUGUGAAACAACUCACUUGUCCUUCCCGGAGAAUGUUCCUCAGUAGUGGCAGAUGCUCUGGAGUGAGAUCUCGAAGUGAUCUGAUACCCCGGCGAUGGCA